UCUCCGUUGGUGAACCAGCGGAGGGAUCAUUACCGAGUUUACAACUCCCAAACCCAGUGUGAACGUUACCAAACUGUUGCCUCGGCGGGGUCACGCCCCGGGUGCGUCGCAGCCCCGGAACCAGGCGCCCGCCGGAGGAACCAACCAAACUCUUUCUGUAGUCCCCUCGCGGACGUUAUUUCUUACAGCUCUGAGCAAAAAUUCAAAAUGAAUCAAAACUUUCAACAACGGAUCUCUUGGUUCUG
rnacentral:misc_RNA from 1 species